rnacentral:rRNA from 1 species
AGUAACACGUGAGCAACCUGCCUUUCAGAGGGGGAUAACGGCUGGAAACGGUCGCUAAUACCGCAUGACGUGUUCGGAUGGCAUCAUCUGAACAUCAAAGAUUUAUCGCUGAAAGAUGGGCUCGCGUCUGAUUAGAUAGUUGGUGGGGUAACGGCCUACCAAGUCUACGAUCAGUAGCCGGACUGAGAGGUUGAACGGCCACAUUGGGACUGAGAUACGGCCCAGACUCCUACGGGAGGCAGCAGUGGGGAAUAUUGCACAAUGGGGGAAACCCUGAUGCAGCAACGCCGCGUGAAGGAUGACGGUUUUCGGAUUGUAAACUUCUUUUCUUAGUGACGAAGACAGUGACGGUAGCUAAGGAAUAAGCAUCGGCUAACUACGUGCCAGCAGCCGCGGUAAUACGUAGGAUGCAAGCGUUAUCCGGAUUUACUGGGUGUAAAGGGAGCGCAGGCGGGACUGCAAGUUGGAUGUGAAAUACCGUGGCUUAACCACGGAACUGCAUCCAAAACUGUAGUUCUUGAGUGAAGUAGAGGCAAGCGGAAUUCCGAGUGUAGCGGUGAAAUGCGUAGAUAUUCGGAGGAACACCAGUGGCGAAGGCGGCUUGCUGGGCUUUAACUGACGCUGAGGCUCGAAAGUGUGGGGAGCAAACAGGAUUAGAUACCCUGGUAGUCCACACUGUAAACGAUGAUAGCUAGGUGUGGGGGGUCUGACCCCUUCCGUGCCGGAGUUAACGCAAUAAGCUAUCCACCUGGGGAGUACGACCGCAAGGUUGAAACUCAAAGGAAUUGACGGGGGCCCGCACAAGCAGUGGAUUAUGUGGUUUAAUUCGAAGCAACGCGAAGAACCUUACCAGGUCUUGACAUCCGACUAACGAGAUAGAGAUAUGUCAGGUGCCCUUCGGGGAAAG